AACCUCGACGUGAUGAACCAUUUACGGAUGUAAAGCUGUCGUUCGCGACACGUCAUUGUCCGAGAGCGCAAAACCGUGUGGAUGUCUCCGUUGCCUUCCUACUGAUCCCGAGGU
rfam:Pseudozyma antarctica T-34 DNA, contig: scaffold00016.